rnacentral:lncRNA from 1 species
ACCUUGACUUUAAUAAUAGGUUGACCCAGUUUCACCUGUGAUGAAUUUAAAUGCCACAUGAAGUUCACAAUUGGUUUGAUAGAAAAUUUAUGUGAUAGUGGAUAUGUAAAAUUUCGUAAUCCAUGUGUUAUAGGAAACUUUGAAAUCUGCACGUAUUAUUCAUGGAUUUACCUAGGAAUACUAGAACUGUGUGAACACGUGUUACUAUAUAUGGCCAGUCGUUGGCUAAAAAUAGAAUUGGACUUUCCCUUGCUAUACAUCUUGUACAUAGCGAAGACUUGUGAGACAUACUAUCACGUUUGAUAACAAAUGCGUUUUCAGUGAAUAUUUUAAUUAUUUUCAGUGGAAAAAAUAGAUAUUGGAAAAAGUGAUUAAUUAUUAACUUCACAUCAAGAAUUAUGUUUCUGCCAGAAAAAGCAUACAUAUACCAUGUAGGAAUAUUUUCCUUUUUCACAACAAACAUAUCUUUGACUUUCAAUUUGUCAUUUCUUUUUGGAUGUAUGCAAUCUUUAAU